GGGUUGUGAGGUUAAGCGACUAAGCGUACACGGUGGAUGCCCUGGCAGUCAGAGGCGAUGAAGGACGUGCUAAUCUGCGAAAAGCGUCGGUAAGGUGAUAUGAACCGUUAUAACCGGCGAUGUCCGAAUGGGGAAACCCAGUGCAAUUCGUUGCACUAUCGUUAACUGAAUACAUAGGUUAACGAGGCGAACCGGGGGAACUGAAACAUCUAAGUACCCCGAGGAAAAGAAAUCAACCGAGAUUCCCCCAGUAGCGGCGAGCGAACGGGGAGCAGCCCAGAGUCUGAAUCAGCUUGUGUGUUAGUGGAACGGUCUGGAAAGUCCGACGGUACAGGGUGAUAGUCCCGUACACCAAAAUGCACAGGCUGUGAACUCGAAGAGUAGGGCGGGACACGUGGUAUCCUGUCUGAAUAUGGGGGGACCAUCCUCCAAGGCUAAAUACUCCUGACUGACCGAUAGUGAACCAGUACCGUGAGGGAAAGGCGAAAAGAACCCCGGCGAGGGGAGUGAAAAAGAACCUGAAACCGUGUACGUACAAGCAGUGGGAGCACCUUCGGGUGUGACUGCGUACCUUUUGUAUAAUGGGUCAGCGACUUAUAUUCUGUAGCAAGGUUAACCAUAUAGGGGAGCCGCAGGGAAACCGAGUCUUAACUGGGCGUUAAGUUGCAGGGUAUAGACCCGAAACCCGGUGAUCUAGCCAUGGGCAGGUUGAAGGUUGGGUAACACUAACUGGAGGACCGAACCGACUAAUGUUGAAAAAUUAGCGGAUGACUUGUGGCUGGGGGUGAAAGGCCAAUCAAACCGGGAGAUAGCUGGUUCUCCCCGAAAGCUAUUUAGGUAGCGCCUCGUGAAUUCAUCUUCGGGGGUAGAGCACUGUUUCGGCUAGGGGGUCAUCCCGACUUACCAACCCGAUGCAAACUACGAAUACCGAAGAAUGUUAUCACGGGAGACACACGGCGGGUGCUAACGUCCGUCGUGAAGAGGGAAACAACCCAGACCGCCAGCUAAGGUCCCAAAGUCAUGGUUAAGUGGGAAACGAUGUGGGAAGGCACAGACAGCCAGGAUGUUGGCUUAGAAGCAGCCAUCAUUUAAAGAAAGCGUAAUAGCUCACUGGUCGAGUCGGCCUGCGCGGAAGAUGUAACGGGGCUAAACCAUGCACCGAAGCUGCGGCAGCGACACGAUGUGUUGUUGGGUAGGGGAGCGUUCUGUAAGCCUGCGAAGGUGACCUGUGAGGGUUGCUGGAGGUAUCAGAAGUGCGAAUGCUGACAUAAGUAACGAUAAAGCGGGUGAAAAGCCCGCUCGCCGGAAGACCAAGGGUUCCUGUCCAACGUUAAUCGGGGCAGGGUGAGUCGACCCCUAAGGCGAGGCCGAAAGGCGUAGUCGAUGGGAAACAGGUUAAUAUUCCUGUACUUGGUGUUACUGCGAAGGGGGGACGGAGAAGGCUAUGUUAGCCGGGCGACGGUUGUCCCGGUUUAAGCAUGUAGGCUGGUUAUCCAGGCAAAUCCGGAUAAUCAAGGCUGAGGUGUGAUGACGAGGCACUACGGUGCUGAAGUAACAAAUGCCCUGCUUCCAGGAAAAGCCUCUAAGCAUCAGGUAACAUCAAAUCGUACCCCAAACCGACACAGGUGGUCAGGUAGAGAAUACCAAGGCGCUUGAGAGAACUCGGGUGAAGGAACUAGGCAAAAUGGUGCCGUAACUUCGGGAGAAGGCACGCUGGUGUGUAGGUGAAGCCCCUGCGGGUGGAGCUGAGACCAGUCGAAGAUACCAGCUGGCUGCAACUGUUUAUUAAAAACACAGCACUGUGCAAACACGAAAGUGGACGUAUACGGUGUGACGCCUGCCCGGUGCCGGAAGGUUAAUUGAUGGGGUUAUCCGUAAGGAGAAGCUCUUGAUCGAAGCCCCGGUAAACGGCGGCCGUAACUAUAACGGUCCUAAGGUAGCGAAAUUCCUUGUCGGGUAAGUUCCGACCUGCACGAAUGGCGUAAUGAUGGCCAGGCUGUCUCCACCCGAGACUCAGUGAAAUUGAACUCGCUGUGAAGAUGCAGUGUACCCGCGGCAAGACGGAAAGACCCCGUGAACCUUUACUAUAGCUUGACACUGAACAUUGAGCCUUGAUGUGUAGGAUAGGUGGGAGGCUUUGAAGCGUGGACGCCAGUCUGCGUGGAGCCAACCUUGAAAUACCACCCUUUAAUGUUUGAUGUUCUAACGUUGGCCCCUGACCGGGGUUGCGGACAGUGUCUGGUGGGUAGUUUGACUGGGGCGGUCUCCUCCCAAAGCGUAACGGAGGAGCACGAAGGUUAGCUAAUCCUGGUCGGACAUCAGGAGGUUAGUGCAAUGGCAUAAGCUAGCUUGACUGCGAGCGUGACGGCGCGAGCAGGUGCGAAAGCAGGUCAUAGUGAUCCGGUGGUUCUGAAUGGAAGGGCCAUCGCUCAACGGAUAAAAGGUACUCCGGGGAUAACAGGCUGAUACCGCCCAAGAGUUCAUAUCGACGGCGGUGUUUGGCACCUCGAUGUCGGCUCAUCACAUCCUGGGGCUGAAGUAGGUCCCAAGGGUAUGGCUGUUCGCCAUUUAAAGUGGUACGCGAGCUGGGUUUAGAACGUCGUGAGACAGUUCGGUCCCUAUCUGCCGUGGGCGCUGGAGAAUUGAGGGGGGCUGCUCCUAGUACGAGAGGACCGGAGUGGACGCAUCACUGGUGUUCGGGUUGUCAUGCCAAUGGCACUGCCCGGUAGCUAAAUGCGGAAGAGAUAAGUGCUGAAAGCAUCUAAGCACGAAACUUGCCCCGAGAUGAGUUCUCCCUGAGACUUUAAGUCUCCUGAAGGAACGUUGAAGACGACGACGUUGAUAGGCCGGGUGUGUAAGCGCAGCGAUGCGUUGAGCUAACCGGUACUAAUGAACCGUGAGGCUUAACCUUACAACGCCGAAG
rnacentral:rRNA from 1 species